UACGGGGGGGGCAAGCGUUGUUCGGAAUUACUGGGCGUAAAGGGCUCGUAGGUGGCCAACUAAGUCAGGCGUGAAAUCCCUCAGCUUAACUGGGGAACUGCGUCUGAUACUGGAUGGCUCGAGUUUGGGAGAGGGAUGCGGAAUUCCAGGUGUAGCGGUGAAAUGCGUAGAUAUCUGGAGGAACACCGGUGGCGAAGGCGGCAUCCUGGACCAACACUGACACUGAGGAGCGAAAGCCAGGGGAGCAAACGGG
rnacentral:rRNA from 1 species